rnacentral:rRNA from 1 species
AACGAACGCUGGCGGCAGGCUUAACACAUGCAAGUCGAACGCGCCCUUCGGGGCGAGUGGCAGACGGGUGAGUAACGCGUGGGAACCUACCUCAAGGUACGGAAUAACUCAGGGAAACUUGAGCUAAUACCGUAUGUGCCCUUACCCCUGAAAAGGUUUGGGGAAAGAUUCAUCGCCUUGGGAUGGGCCCGCGUCGGAUUAGCUAGUUGGUGGGGUAAUGGCCUGCCAAGGCGACGAUCCGUAGCUGGUCUGAGAGGAUGAUCAGCCACACUGGGACUGAGACACGGCCCAGACUCCUACGGGAGGCAUCAGUGGGGAAUAUUGGACAAUGGGGGCAACCCUGAUCCAGCCAUGCCGCGUGGGUGAUGAGGGCCUUAGGGUUGUAAAGCUCUUUCGCCGGUGAAGAUAAUGACGGUAACCGGAGAAGAAGCCCCGGCUAACUUCGUGCCAGCCGCCGCGGUAA